rnacentral:lncRNA from 1 species
AAAAACCCCCCUGUAGUUUCAUCGUUUCUCACUUUACCCCCCUGCGGUUUAAAAUGUAUCAAUUUGCCUCCCUGUGGUUUCGUUUUUAUCUUUUCGAUAGCUUUUUCGUUAAUAUUUUAUUAAAUUAUAUACAAAAAUUUUAUAUACCCAUCUAGAUUUAUCAAAUAUUCACUUUAGUACCCUUUAAUUUUAACUUUAUAACUGAUUUAAGAAAAAAAAUAAUGAAAUUGAUAAAAAAAAAGAGAAAAAGGAAACCACAGGGGGACAAAUUAAUACACUUUAAACCACAGGGGGGCCAAGUGAGAAACUACGAAACCACAGGGGGUUUUUUGAAGGUUUCUUUU